UUAUUAGAUUAUAAUAAUUUACGUUCGUCACAGUUGUAUUUAAAGACCCGAAGGCCAACAGUUCACAGGUGUGUAUAGAUCAGAGCGGCCGAAGCCAGCUCAAUUCACUAAUGAUCCUUCCGCAGGUUCACCUACGGAAA
rnacentral:misc_RNA from 1 species